GGGUGAUAGCCCCGUAUCGGUAGAAAGUACCUAAGUCCUCGAGUAGGGCGGGACACGUGAAAUCCUGUUCGAACAUGGGGGGACCACCCUCCAAGCCUAAGUACUCCUUAAUGACCGAUAGUGAACCAGUACCGUGAGGGAAAGGUGAAAAGCACCCCGACGAGGGGAGUGAAACAGACCUGAAACCGGAUGCCUACAAGCAGUAGGAGCCUCCAUUGUGAGGUGACUGCGUACCUUUUGUAUAAUGGGUCAGCGAGUUACUCU
rnacentral:rRNA from 13 species